CCUACGGGAGGCAGCAGUGGGGAAUCUUGCACAAUGGAGGAAACUCUGAUGCAGCGAUGCCGCGUGAGUGAAGAAGGCCUUUGGGUUGUAAAGCUCUUUCNUCGGGGAAGAAAAUGACUGUACCCGAAUAANAAGGUCCGGCUAACUUCGUGCCAGCAGCCGCGGUAAUACNAAGGGACCUAGCGGANUUCGGAAUUACUGGGCUUAAAGAGUUCGUANGUGGUUGAAAAAGUUGGUGGNGAAAUCCCNNAGCUUAACUCUGGAACUGCCAUCAAAACUUUUCAGCUAGAGUUUGAUAGAAGAAAGCAAAAUUUCUAGUGGAAAGGUGAAAUUCGUAAAUAUUANAAAGAAUACCAAUUGCGAAGGCAGCUUUCUGGAUCAUUACUGACACUGANGAACGAAAGCAUGGGUAGCGAAAAGGAUUAAAUACCCUCGUANUCCAUGCCGUAAACGAUGUGUGUUAGACGUUGGAAAUUUAUUUUCNNNGGCGCANCGAAAGCGAUAAACACACCG
rnacentral:rRNA from 1 species